rnacentral:rRNA from 1 species
GAUGAACGCUAGCUACAGGCUUAACACAUGCAAGUCGAGGGGAAGCGAUAUUGGAAGCUUGCUUCCGAUAGGCGUCGACCGGCGCACGGGUGAGUAACGCGUAUCCAACCUGCCCAUCACUUGGGAAUAACCUUGCGAAAGUAAGACUAAUGCCCAAUGACAUUUAUAGAAGGCAUCUGAAAUGAAUUAAAGAUUUAUCGGUGAUGGAUGGGGAUGCGUCUGAUUAGCUUGUUGGCGGGGUAACGGCCCACCAAGGCGACGAUCAGUAGGGGUUCUGAGAGGAAGGUCCCCCACAUUGGAACUGAGACACGGUCCAAACUCCUACGGGAGGCAGCAGUGAGGAAUAUUGGUCAAUGGACGAGAGUCUGAACCAGCCAAGUAGCGUGAAGGAUGACUGCCCUAUGGGUUGUAAACUUCUUUUAUACGGGAAUAAAGUGAGGCACGUGUGCCUUUUUGUAUGUACCGUAUGAAUAAGGAUCGGCUAACUCCGUGCCAGCCGCCGCGGUAA